AAGAAAGACGAUAGAGAGAU
rnacentral:sRNA from 1 species